CGAGAAAGCCCGCAAGGGUGAGUAAAGCGGCGCACGGGUGCGUAACACGUGGGUAAUCUGCCCUAGAGUCCGGAAUAACUCGCCGAAAGGCGUGCUAAUGCCGGAUGAGACCACGGGAGCCUCGGCUCCUGCGGGAAAAGGUGGCCUCUGUAUACAAGCUAUCGCUCUAGGAUGAGCCCGCGGCCCAUCAGCUCGUUGGCGGGGUAAUGGCCCACCAAGGCUACGACGGGUAGCUGGUCUGAGAGGACGAUCAGCCACACUGGAACUGAGACACGGUCCAGACUCCUACGGGAGGCAGCAGUGGGGAAUCUUGCGCAAUGGGCGAAAGCCUGACGCAGCAACGCCGCGUGUGUGAUGAAGGUCUUCGGAUCGUAAGGCACUGUCGCGAGGGACG
rnacentral:rRNA from 1 species